GAUGAAGAACGUAGCAAAUGCGAUAAGUAGUGUGAAUUGCAGAAUUCAGUGAAUCAUCGAAUCUUUGAACGCACAUUGCGCCCCUUGGUAUCCCGAGGGGCAUGCCUGUUCGAGCGUCAUUUCACCACUCAAGCCUGGCUUGGUGUUGGGCGACGUCCCCUUUAGGGACGCGCCUCGAAACGCUCGGCGGCGCGGCACCGGCUUUAAGCGUAGCAGAAUCUUUCGCUUUGGAAGUCGGGGCCCCGCCUGCCGGAAUACCUACUUGUAAGGUUGACCUCGGAUCAGGCAGGGAUACCCGCUGAACUUAAGCAUAUCAAUAAGCGGAGGA
rnacentral:misc_RNA from 1 species